UUUGCAUUUGCAUAACAAGUUCCUCAUGUUAAAUAGUUUAUCCAGUAUGCUUGAAUCUUUAUUCACUAAUUCAGUUCUCUCGGGAUUUUUUCUACAUUAGCAGAACAACUACUCUGCACCUCAUGUUCCGCAAAAUGUUAAUGCAUGUCCAACACUAUUUGUGGCAAAUUUGGGGCCAACUUGUUCAGAGCAAGAGCUAAUUCAAGUCUUUUCAAGUUGCCAUGGAUUUAUAAAAUUGAAGAUGCAAAGCACAUAUGGAACUCCGGUGGCAUUUGUUGAUUUUCAGAUACUUUGUUACUGUCAUUGAAAAGCUAAAACAAGAACUCAUGAUGGGUCCAUGUUUGUAUGUCUUUCAUUAGUUAAUAUAAUUUUUGUUGUGGUACAGAAGUUGUAGGUGUACAAUUAAUUUGGUUAUUCAUGUAUUAUGUAUGGAAUUAAAAUAUUGACGUUGGAUUA